CUUUUGAUCAGAACCUGUCUCCUAUAUGCAUAUCUAUCAGAAUUAAAUAGGUGGUCAAAAACUGUCGACAAACUAAUGUAUGGGCCUGGUCGUAAAGUGCAGUCUAAAUUUCCAUUGUAGGGACCGUACAACUCUCGUCCUUGCCACCCAGUCCGUAACAAUGCAAGAUAACUGCCACCAUUAACAGUCUACAAAGAUACUCCGAAAAUGAGGCGCACUCUUUGGCACAUGCUCACGGCCCAGCUCCUGCUCCUGGUACUCUGUUCGCUGCUCUCUCUCUGCUCCGGCGGCAAUAUGCAUCCUUUGAAAGUGGGCAAAAACUAUGCGUCGCUGCACAACCAGCCCAAGGACUUUCGCUCUUUAGUGAUGGAUAUUAGCAAGUUUGUUCUCACUAUUGUGAGCAGAACGCGUUGAGUCACGUUUUUUUUUGUUUAUUGUUAAUUUUUUUUGAGCACGUAUUCCUUAUUUAUAGAAAGCAAAAGCUUUUUCCUCCAUCUAAUCUGUCCAAAGAUCUGACUAGUACCAUAUCUAUUACUAAGCUGGCGUCGAGAUUUGAAUUCCAAUCUGAGUCCUGCCCCCCAUUCAAUUCAGAGUUCCAAAAUUCUCCAUUAAAGACCGACAGAAAGGCCAGCGACCAGCAGAUCAGUGCAGAGACCGACAAUCAUUGCCAAAGCAACGCAAAGCCUGGCCUCGAACUGAAUUUACAAUAAAAAUUCUUAAUUCUUGGUACAAAAAUUUCUGUAUUUAGCUGAUGAAAAUAAUUU
rnacentral:sRNA from 1 species